CCUACGGGAGGCAGCAGUGGGGAAUAUUGCACAAUGGGCGCAACCCUGAUGCAGCGACGCCGCGUGAGUGAAGAAGUCCUUCGUUAUGUAAAGCUCUAUCAGCAGGGAAGAAAAUGACGGUACCUGAGUACGCAGCCCCGGCGAACUACGUGCCAGCAGCCGCGGUAAUACGUAGGGGGCAAGCGUUAUCCGGAUUUACUGGGUGUAAAGGGAGCGUAGACGGCAGGGCAAGUCUGGAGUGAAAGGCGGGGGCUCAACCCCGGGACUGCUCUGGAAACUGUACGGCUGGAGUGCAGGAGAGGUGAGUGGAAUUCCUGGUGUAGCGGUGAAAUGCGUAGAGAUUAGGAGGAACACCAGUGGCGAAGGCGGCUUACUGGACUGUAACUGACGUUGAGGCGCGAAAGCGUGGGGAGCAAACAGGAUUAGAUACCCGGGUAGUC
rnacentral:rRNA from 1 species